rnacentral:misc_RNA from 1 species
AGGCAUUGAAAGCGACCACCAGGGGCACAACAA